UUGCGGGUGCAAGUCCCGCCAUGGCAAAAAGCCAAAGCCAUGUAGCUUGGAUGGCAGGAGGUGAGGGAAACGUUGCCUUUUGAAGCCCAUCGACAAAGCCCUGUAUAGCGGGGUGAGCAAGUUUCCGGGUCGUAACGAAA
rfam:Nitrospirae bacterium GWC2_57_13 gwc2_scaffold_965, whole genome shotgun sequence.